rnacentral:rRNA from 1 species
GGAUUCUGGCUCAGGAUGAACGCUAGCGGCAGGCUUAACACAUGCAAGUCGCGGGGCAGCGCGGGUAGCAAUACCUGGCGGCGACCGGCGGAAGGGUGCGUAACGCGUGAGCAACAUGCCCGUAUCAGGGGGAUAACCGAUGGAAACGUCGCCUAAUACCCCAUAACAACAGUUUCCGCAUGGGGAUUGUUUGAAAGUUACGGCGGAUACGGAUUGGCUCGCGUGACAUUAGCUAGUUGGCGGGGUAACGGCCCACCAAGGCUACGAUGUCUAGGGGUUCUGAGAGGAAGGUCCCCCACACUGGAACUGAGACACGGUCCAGACUCCUACGGGAGGCAGCAGUGAGGAAUAUUGGUCAAUGGGCGCAAGCCUGAACCAGCCAUGCCGCGUGCAGGAAUGAGGCCCUAUGGGUCCGUAAACUGCUUUUGCUGCGGAGCAAUAAGUGCCACGUGUGACACGAUGAGAGUACGCAGCGAAUAAGCAUCGGCUAACUCCGUGCCAGCAGCAGC